rnacentral:rRNA from 1 species
UGGGGAAUAUUGCACAAUGGGCGAAAGCCUGAUGCAGCAACGCCGCGUGAGGGACGACGGGCCUUCGGGUUGUAAACCUCUUUUAGCAAGGAAGAAGCGAAAGUGACGGUACUUGCAGAAAAAGCGCCGGCUAACUACGUGCCAGCAGCCGCGGUAAUACGUAGGGCGCAAGCGUUAUCCGGAAUUAUUGGGGCGUAAAGAGCUCGUAGGCGGUUUGUCGCGUCUGCUGUGAAAACCCGAGGCUCAACCUCGGGCCUGCAGUGGGUACGGGCAGACUAGAGUGCGGUAGGGGAGAUUGGAACUCCUGGUGUAGCGGUGGAAUGCGCAGAUAUCAGGAAGAACACCGAUGGCGAAGGCAGAUCUCUGGGCCGUAACUGACGCUGAGGAGCGAAACGGGUGGGGAGCAAACAGGCUUAGAUACCCUGGUAGUCACCCCGUAAACGUUGGGAACUAGUUGUGGGGUCCAUUCCACGGAUUCCGUGACGCAGCUAACGCAUUAAGUUCCCCGCCUGGGGGAGUACGGCCGCAAGG